rnacentral:rRNA from 1 species
GUGGUUNAUUCGAUGAUACGCGAGGAACCUUACCCGGGCUUGAACUGCCGGCGAACGAUACAGAGAUGUUGAGGCCCUUCGGGGCGCCGGUGGAGGUGCUGCAUGGUUGUCGUCAGCUCGUGCCGUGAGGUGUCGGCUUAAGUGCCAUAACGAGCGCAACCCUUUUCGUCAGUUGCCAUCAGGUGAUGCUGGGCACUCUGGCGACACUGCCACCGUAAGGUGUGAGGAAGGUGGGGAUGACGUCAAAUCAGCACGGCCCUUACGUCCGGGGCUACACACGUGUUACAAUGGGGCAUACAGAAGGCCGGUGCAUGGCAAUGUGCAUCCAAUCUUAAAAGUGCUCCUCAGCUCGGAUUGGGGUCUGCAACCCGACCCCAUGAAGCUGGAUUCGCUAGUAAUCGCGCAUCAGCCAUGGCGCGGUGAAUACGUUCCCGGGCCUUGUACACACCGCCCGUC